GUCCCCGGACCAUGGCGGCGAUGGUGGCGGCGCUGCGCGGGCCGGUCGCCCACUUCCGGUCGCGGACACGGGCCUGGACACGCGGGACACGGGGCGCGGCGGACGCAGCGGGAGCAGGGCAGCAGAGCUUUGAUUUCUUGGUGAUGGGUGGGAAUCCGGUGGCCUAGCUUGUGCCAAGGAAGGGCCCUGGCCCAGCUGUUGGUUCUUAGGGAUCACAUCACCAUAGCUGGAAGGGCGGUCCUGAGCAGACCCAGUCCUGGAGCCGGGAGCCCCACCCUUAUGUGGCGGGUUGGCCAAGCCUCUUGUCCCAAGCCAGGGCCUGACUUUAUGGAUCUCCCUGUCUUACCCUCCCCUCUCCUCCACUCUCCUGAUCUAACUCUCCAGGCCUGAGUUAGCUGUUUACUGACAAGGUGCUGUGUAGUGGGAGAGAAGGGGUGGGGUGUCCCCAUGCAGUGCCACAAAGGAGCAAAUAUGAGCCUGGAGUGGAGGUCCUGGGGCAGGAAAUAGGACAGGUGGGGACUAUGGAAAAGAACUUGGGCUCCCAGGGGUGGCUGGAAUACUACCCCGCAUGCAGGCUGACCACAGUGAGGACUGCUCCAGGAGAGUCCAGGCAGGGAAGUGUAGGAGGCAGAUAGCUUGGGGGACAAGCUGUGCUUGCCCCCAGCCCCCGUCAUGGGUUCCCUGGGACACCCUCCCUCUGCAGUGUACUCUUCCUGAGCUGCCUGUGCUGGGGCCAACCCGGGUCCUACAUCUGCCUAGAACCUCAAGUAACCUCGGGCCUGACUGCCAGCAACAGCGGGGGAACUGUUCCUCAGUGCCUGCUGUUUGUGACUUCAAGAUGAAGACGACUGACAAAAAGCAUUAAAAAAGAAACCAAAAUAAGACUGUAUCAGCAAACAUUGAAAUUUUUGUAAGAAAAUUUAAAGAUUAAAAGAGCAGCAAAGGAA